rnacentral:rRNA from 1 species
GACGUAGGGCGCGAGCGUUGUCCGGAUUUAUUGGGCGUAAAGAGCUCGUAGGCGGCUUGUUGCGUCGUCCGUGAAAACCUGUGGCUUAACUACAGGCUUGCGGUCGAUACGGGCGGGCUGGAGUUCGGUAGGGGAGACUGGAAUUCCUGGUGUAGCGGUGAAAUGCGCAGAUAUCAGGAGGAACACCAAUGGCGAAGGCAGCUCGCUGGAACGGUACUGACGCUGAGGCGCGAAAGCGUGGGGAGCGAACAGG